AAUUCUUUGUUCUUUGAUCAUUUACUAUAAUAACCCUGUUAAAGUUUGUUUUGAAUACAAUCGUCAAUGUACAUGUAGAAGCAUGUGUAAACAUGAUAUAUAUCGGAAAGAUAGUCUUUAGAUUCAUAAUACACAAGUUACUCGAGAAAGCUAUGAUGGAAGGCAACACUGUCCCAGAGAGAGAGAAACAGCCGCUGUUACCAAAGAAACAACACCCCCAGGCAAGACCACAGGCUCCCCAGCUGUACCGCCAACAGGUGAGAGAGACUGUGCUGGUGACAAGAGAGCCUAUAGUUGGCGUGUACACAUACAGACAGCCUAACAUUCCCACUUGGAUUGGGUCCGAAUACGUUGUCUACGCCUCAGUGCUCACUAUGCUCUUUUGUGGCAUUCUGCCAGGAGUUGUGGCUCUGCUCUUCGCAUGGGAGGCUCGCAGCAAGAGGGAGACUGGACAAAUUGAAGAGGCCAGAUCAUGGACCGUGGGGGCCAUUCUCUGCAAUGCACUUGCUUUCACACUGGGUUCGUCUGCCAUUGUGUUUAUCUCUGUGUACUACGGCGCCAUGUACAGCUGAGCAAACUUGAACUUAACACUACAUUCAGUAGUUUUAAAAGGACAACACAUUCAAUGAUUUAUACCAUGCACACAUAAGUAUGCAACAACAAGGACUUCUUACUACAGAAUACAUACAUAAUUAUACUGUAUACAACGUAAUACAUACUAAAGUUGUGUACAGUGCAGUUGUUGCUUAUAGUGCAUGCCAAAGAUUUUCUAAACAAUUACAACUACAGAGGAGUUAUU